rnacentral:rRNA from 1 species
GACGUAGGGCGCGAGCGUUGUCCGGAUUUAUUGGGCGUAAAGAGCUCGUAGGCGGCUUGUCGCGUCGACUGUGAAAACCCGCGGCUCAACUGCGGGCCUGCAUCCGAAACUGGCAGGCUAGAGUACGAAAGAGGAUCGCGGAAUUCCCGGUGUAGAGGUGAAAUUCGUAGAUAUCGGGAGGAACACCGGUGGCGAAGGCGGCGAUCUGGGUCGAUACUGACGCUGAGGUGCGAAGGCGUGGGGAGCAAACAGG